AUACGGAGGAUGCAAGCGUUAUCCGGAUUUAUUGGGUUUAAAGGGUGCGUAGGCGGAUGAUUAAGCGUGAGGUGAAAUGCCACUGCUCAACAGUGGAACUGCCUCGCGAACUGGUUGUCUUGAAUGCUCCUGCCGUGGGAGGAAUGUGUAGUGUAGCGGUGAAAUGCUUAGAGAUUACACAGAACACCGAUUGCGAAGGCAUCUCACGAAGGGUUGAUUGACGCUGAGGCACGAAAGCGUGGGGAUCAAACAGGAUUAGAUACCCUGGUAGUCCACGCAGUAAACGAUGAUGGCUAACCGCUGGGCUUAUCAGUUCAGUGGCCAAGCGAAAGCGAUAAGCCAUCCACCUGGGGAGUACGACCGCAAGGCUGAAACUCAAAUGAAUUGACGGGG
rnacentral:rRNA from 1 species